UUUAGAAUGUUCUUGUCAACAGGCUUUGACUGCUGUGGAAAAUAGGAUCUGUUCAAAAACUCAGGUUCAGAAAUAGAAAUUAUUAUCUCAAGCUGGUCGUGUUACAAUGAUUCAAUCGGUUUUUCCUGCUAUUCCUACUUACUCUAUAGUAAUUUUUCAAUAUUCUAAGCAAUUCUCAGCUAAGCUUAAUAGCCUAUUAUCAAACUUCUAGUGGGAUGGUACUAAGGAGUAUAGAAAAAUUCACUGGGUUAGUUGGCAACGUUCCUGUUACUCUAAGUUUUGGGUGAAUUAGGUUUUAAAAAUUUUGAACUUCAAUCUAGCUUGUUUAGCAAAACAAUGUUAGAGGCUUCUUCAUAAUCAAACUCGCUUAUGGGUUCGAGUUUUGAAAGGAGUAUAUUUUCCACGAUCUUCCUUUUAGCAGGCUAUCUAUAAGCGACGUAGUUCGUGGAUAUAGCAAAGUUUGUUAACUUGUAGAGAAGUUUUUCGUAAGGAGCGCGCAUGAAUAUUGGAGAUGGUAGGAACACUAGAAUUUGGUCAAAUCCUUGGGUGCCUCAACUGAAUAAUUUGAAAUUGUCUAGUCCGGCUAAUUAUCCAGUUGGUAUUACCAUGGUAGCAGACUUAAUUGAUCAUAGUACCUUAGAUUGGAACCAUCGGGUGGUGAAGCACUUCUUUCCUCAUUAACGGGCAACAACUAUUCUCUCUGUCAUGUGGCUCCUCUUGGUACACUAGAUUCUCUUAUAUGACAUUAUGUGCAUAAUGGCUAAUAUAGUGUACGUUUUGGUUAUAGGUUUUUAAUGCGUUGUUCAACUAAUCGGCUUAUUGGACUUUAACCUUCUUCUUCUAUUACUAUCAAUUCGGACAUUUGGAAGGUUUUAUGUUAUGGAGGGCAACUUCGUGGGAGAGGUCUCGAUUGGAGAUGAACAGUUCUUUGCUUUUAAUCUUGGUCACACUCACCUUUAUGGCAUAUAUAAAGGGAUAGAAAUAGAGAUCCUCUCAUAUUGUUUGAAGUCCUCCCUCACAAGGGAGCCUCAUGUUCAACUGCGAUAUUGCAUGGAACAGUUUUCACUUGCUGGUAUAUAAAAGAAAAAAAUUGGGACUUGGGCUUUGUGGAAGCCUAGAAUUACUUUUGGGUGUGUUAAUUAUCCUGAUUUCAAUGAAUAUUGUCUGAACUGAUGGAUAAUUAAAGUGUAUAUCGGUGCAUUGACUUGGUUCUGUGCAAGCCAGCGCAGCCGACAGGAAGUUGACUUCAACGGGCCAAAAUUCUAAUAUGGCGGCUGCUUUAGACUCAGUCUUGCAAACUGAUAAUAACAGCCGUUAGGGCAAUGAUGUCAUCCAACCUUAUUUUGUUCAAUUAUAUAUUGAAGCUCUAGAUUUUGUGAUUUUUUUUUUUUAUCAAAUCUAGGUUUUGUGA